CAGCCUUCUCUAUUAUGUUGUCAUAGGAGUCCUUUGUUGCCAAUGACUCACUCGAAACAUUCUCUUCCUCAGGACGAAUAUUGAGAUUCUGUAGACGAACUAGACCAGCGUAUGCGCCAUCGCUUGAUAUCAACUCCGACGGUCGCUUCAUCAAGAAUCAAAAGUUUAGGCUCUUUAACUAAAGCACGAGCAAUGGAAAUUCUUUGUUUUUGACCUCCUGAUAUCAGGCUACCUGCAGAACCGACAAGAGUACCAUACCCAUCCUUUAGACGACCGAUAAAAGCACUCGCAUCAGCGAGAUCCGCUGCAUUACGCACCAGAUCUAUGAUUUUUGCAGUCUCUUGACCAUGCAUCUCUGCUUCUUCGAUUAGAUCCCGUCCAUUCCUGACGGCAGUUGCAAUAUCGGAAAGUUUACCUCCAAGCAAGGCUGGGGACAGGUGAGAGUGAGAUGGAGAAUUAAUUAGUCCCAAGGCAAUAUUCUCAAGGAUGGAUCGGUCGAGGAGUGAUGGCUCUUGCUGGACAAGACUGAGAUUGCUUCGCAAAGAUCGAACAUUGAGAUCUUUGAUGUUCUGCCCAGCGAAAGACACUUCCCCAUUUGUUGGGUCAUAUAAUCGUGCUAUUAGGCCGGCUACGGUCGACUUCCCGCUCCCGGAUAGACCAACGAUUGCGGUAUGUUGUCCAGCUGCACAUGACAUUGACACAUUAUCUAGCACAGGUUUAUCUGGCCGGGACGGAAAUGCAAAGGAAACAUUGUUCAGCUCAAUAUUACCGGAAACGUUUCGGAGAGAAUUUCCAGUGCCUUCAACUGUGCCAUCUAUUUUCGGUUCCCGGUUGAUAUCAGCUUCCAAACUUUCGAAGGUCACUCCUGCAGCAUCGAAGACUUGAACAAAAGGAGCGACUUGGCUAAGGAUCAAAGUAGCUUUUAAAACUUCAGUUAGCCUACUGGAUACUGGAUACUUUAAUAUUGAAUAUCUCACCAUCGACCAACAAAAAAAUCACGGUGUAUGUAGUCCCAACUGAUGAUCCAGGGUUACCGGAGGCAACUGCAUCCGCGAUCGUUUUCGAGCCUUGCCAGAAUGCCAAUCCAUUUGCGGAGAAUGCAAUAAAAUACAGCAAUCCCGACUGGACAGCGAUAGAAAUUGCCUUUCUAAUUCCAGCUACCUUUGCAUUGCCCAACAGGCCUGCAAAUUUCGAUUCUAACUGAGCGUUUGCCGAGAAUGCAUGCACAAUUGUUGCGUUUGACAGUGCUUCCAUCGCAACGGAUGAUGCUCCAGCAACGUUUUUCAGCAUAGCCGAUGCGUAUUUCUGAGUAUAGUAACCGCCAACAAGCGACAUUAGCAGAUAGGCUGGCGUUAGAGACACUAACUCCCCACCAAGUUUUGCAUCUUUGACGAAAGCGAUGAUAUAAGCGGUGAUGAAAAACGAUACACUAUUGAGGACAAUGCCUACUUUCUCAGAUGUCCCCUGUUGGAUUGUCGUUAUGUCACUCGUGAGUCGAGAUGCAGCUUCUCCAGCUGGCAUAUUGUCGAAGAAUGAAGCAUCCUGCCGUAAUAGACUUUUGAAAUACCGCUCACGAAGUCUUUGGGCCAGGCGCUCACCAAACAAAUUCCACGAAGCGACAUAGAUAUAUACCAAGACAAACCUCUUUGAGAAUCGGUGUUGCAAGAUGCAGAAUUAAGAUUGUCAACCAAUUGGCCGAAGAUAAUACCCAUAAGAGGGAAUGGCACUCCUGAAGCAAUCGCGGCUAGUAUACCAAGUGUGAGGAGAAUAAGGUCAACGGUUGUCGGCUCUGCAUAAAAGAGAAGGCGGACAUAUCUAGUAGCCCUUCGAAUAAUCUAUCCAGUCGUCACAGAGUUAGCUGUGCUUAUAACAUUUGUAUUUGAGAUGAUUAUCAGUACCCUUCGGCUCUUCGCAGUUUUUGACUCUCCGGCAGCCAAAUCUUCCGACGCCUCAGUCAUAUCUGUGUUUGGUAGCAGGAAAACAAACUCCUCUGCUCAAGUACCGCAAUUUCCAAUGCGAGUUUAUGAAAGCAAACACCAGGAAGAGUUGAUUCAUGGCGAGAACGGAAAGUGGCUCUCGAUGAAGCUCGAUGUCUCCCCCAGGCGGAUGGCCCUCGAUAGCUCUGAGGAUUCUAGGCCCCAUGCUGCGAAGUUUCUCUUGCUCUCAUUUUUUCUAGUUUCGCGUUUUGUGGGUCAAUUGCACCAAUGCCGUAGGGGAGCACAGUAGCGUUGUGUGAGGUGGUAUGAUGUUUGGAUACGAACCUUAUCAGAUCCGUAUUUAUUUCAGAAAUGGUUUGUAUAUGUGCAUAACAAUACGAUAGCG
rnacentral:sRNA from 2 species